UACGUAGGGGGGCAAGCGUUGUCCGGAUUUAUUGGGCGUAAAGCGCACGCAGGCGGUCUCUUAAGUUUCGAGUGACAGGUGGUGGCUCAACUGCCACAGGCCUCGGAAAACUGGGGGACUUGAGGACGAGAGAGGGAUGCGGAAUUCCAGGUGGAGCGGUGAAAUGCGUAGAGAUCUGGAGGAACACCGGUGGCGAAGGCGGCAUCCUGGACCAACACUGACGCUGAGUGAACGAAAGCCAGGGGAGCAAAACGGGG
rnacentral:rRNA from 1 species